AUAGAAAACUGCUUUAGCUUUCAGCAGUCCUUUCCUGAGCUCUGAGGAAGCUUGCCUUCCUUUGAGCAACCCGGUCUUUCUUCUGGGCAAGAGACAGUUUGGGACGAUUCCACCUCUUCUUCACUUCUCUCUUGGGCUUCUUCUCAUAGACUGAAUUCUCUCAGAUAGCAGCAUGAGCUUUCUUAUACAUUUCCUCCAUUAUGUAGCAUAUGUAGUCUGCCACAUUCUGACCCAUGAUGUGAUUUCAAUGUACCUCUGCAUUGAACACCUUGCUUUCAGAGUCAUAACCAGGGAAUCGUUUAGUACUAUGUGGGAUAGACAAGUCUCCAUCCACAGCUCCCUUCAGGGUCCCCAAAACUUUAUUGCCAGUUGUAGUUCGGGCAAGACCUGCAUCCAGAUAGCAAGUGAAGGCACCAGGCUGACCGUUAAUACUUUCCACAUUGUAUUCACCUCCAUUCACCUCCGCUUGGCAUU
rnacentral:lncRNA from 1 species